AGAAACGGGUGUUGGAUUUUGUCAAAGGCUUUUUUCUGCAUCUGUUGAGAGGAUCACAUGGUUUUUAUUCUUCAUUUUGUUAAUGUGGUGUCUCACACUGAUUGAUUUGCGGAUAUUGAAGAUUUCUCGCAUCCCUGGGAUAAAUCCCACUUGAUCAUGAUGUACAAUCCUUUUAAUGCAUUGUUGGAUUAGAUUUGCUAGUAUUUUGUUGAGGAUGUUUGCAUCAUUGUUCAUCAGUGAAAUUGGCCUGUAGUUUUCUUUUUUUGUGGUAUCUUUAUCUGGUUUUGGUCUUAGGGUGAUGGUAGAAUGAGUUUGGGAGUGUCCCUUCCUCUGUAAUUUUUUGGAAUAUUUUCAGGAUAGGUGUUAGCUCUUCACUAAAUGUUUGAUAGAAUUUGACUGUGAAGCCAUGUGGUCCUGGACUUUUGUUUGUUGGAAGUUUCUUAAUCACAGUUUCAAUUUCAGUGCUUGUGUUGGCCUGUUCAUCUUUUCUAUUUCAUCUUGGUUUAGUCUUGGAAGAUUGUACUUUUCUAAGAAUUUGUACAUUUCUUCUAGGUUUUCCAUUUUAUUGCUAUAUAGUCACAUAUAGUAGGCUCUUAUGAUUAUUUGUAUUUCUGUGAUGUCCAUUGUUACUUCUUCUUUGUCAUUUCUAAUUUUAUUGAUUUGAGUCUUCUCUCUUUUUUUCUUGAUAAGUCUGGCUAAGGGUUUAUCAAUUUUGUUGAUCUUUUCAAGGAACCACCUUUUCAUUUCAAUGAUUUUUUCCUAUGGUUUUCUUUGUUUCUAUUUCAUUGAUUUCUGCUCUGAUCUUUAUGAUUUCUUUCUUUGUACUAACUUUAGGUCUUGUCUGUUCUCUCUUGAGCUGCUUUAGAUGUAAAGUUAGCUUGUUUAUUAGAGCUUUUUCUUGUUUCUUGAGGUGGGCUUGUAUUGCUAUAAACUUUCCUCUUAGAACUGCUUUUGCUGCAUCCCAUAGGUUUUGGAGUGUUUUAUCUUUGCUGUCAUUGGCUUCUAAGUAUUUUUUAAUUUCCUCUUUGAUUUCUUCUGUGAUCCAUAGGUUGUGUAGUAGCAUGUUGUUUAGUCUCCAUCUGUUUGUGUUUUUUGCAGUUUUUAUCUUGUUGAUUUGCAGUUGUAUAGUGUUGUGGUCGGAAAAGAUGCUUGAUAUGAUUUCAAUUUUCUUAAAGUUACCAAGGCUGGAUUUGUAGCCCAGGAUGUGAUCAGUCUUAGAGAAUGUGCUAUGUGCACUUGAGAAGAAUGCACAUUCUGUUGCUUUUGGAUGGAAUGUGCUAUAAAUAUCUAUUAAGUCCAUCUGGUUUAAUGCUUCAUUCAGGGCUUGUGUUUCUUUAUUGAUUUUCUGUCUGGAUGAUCUGUCCAUUGCUGUAAGUGGGGUGGUAAAGUCCCCCACUAUGAUUGUGUUAUUGUCUAUUUGUCCUUUUAAGGUUGUUAGCAGUUGCCUUAUAUACUGAUGUGAUCCUAUGUUGGGUUCAUAGAUAUUUAAAAUUGUUAUAUCUUCUUCUUGAAUUGAUCCUUUGAUCAUUAGGUAGUGACCUUCCUUGUCUCUUAAAAUACUCUUCAUUUUAAAGUCUAUUUUGUCUGAUAUGAGUAUUGCUACUCCAGUUUUCUUUUGAUUCCCAUUUGCAUGGAAUAUUUUCUUCCAUCCUCUUACUUUCAAUUUGUGUAUGUCCCUUGAAGUGAAGUGGGUCUCUUGAAGACAGCAUAUAUAUAUGGGUCUUGUUUUUGUAACCAUUCAGCCAGUCUAUGUCUUUUGGUUGGGGCAUUUAGUCUAUUAACACUUAAGGUAAUUAUUGAUAUGUAUGUUCUUAUUGCCAUUUUAUUAAUUGCCUUGGAUUUGUUUUUGUUGCUCCUUUUUCUUCUCUUCUUCUCUUGUUCUCUCCUCUUUUGGUUUUAUGACUAUCUUUAGUGUUGUAUUUGAGUUGAUUUGUCUUAUUUGUUUGUGUAUCAAUUGUAGAUUUUCGGUUUGCAGUUACUCUGACGUUUUGAUAUGAGUCUAUAUAUAUAUGAAAUUGUUUUAAGUUGUUGGUGUCUUAAUUGCAUGUGCAUCUCCAGUGUCCUGCAUUUGUACCCUCAUCUUCUCACGAUUUGUGAUUUUAGUGGCAUAAUUGUGCAUGAAUGAUUUCCUACCUUUACUGUAUAUAUGCCAUUACUGGUGAGCCGUGUCAUUUGUGGUAUUUUUGUUUCUGGUUGCAGCCUUUUCUUCUCUGCCUAGAGAAGUUCCUUUAGUGUUUGUUGUAAAGCUGGUUUAGUGUUGCUGAAUUCUCUUAGCUCUUGUUUAUCUGUGAAGGUUUUGAUUUCUCCUUCAAACCUGAAUGAGAGCCUUGCUGGGUAAAGCAAUCUUGGUUGGAGGCUUUCAUCACAUGAAGUAUAUCAUGCCACUCCCCUCUGGCCUGCUGAGUUUCUGCUGAAAAACCUGCCAAAAACCUUAUCAGGGUUCCCUUGUAUGUUAUUUGUUUCUUUUUGCUAGCUGCUUUCAAUAUUUUCUCUUUCUCUUUAAUUUUGGUCAUUUUGAUUUUUAUGUGUCUUGGGGUGUUCCUUCUUGGGUUUAUUAUAUAUGAUACUCAUGCUUCCUGGAUUUGAGUGAGUGGUUCCUUUCCCAUGUUAGGGAAGUUUUUGGCUAUUAUCUCUUGGAAUAUUUUUUCUGUCCCCUUCUCUCUCUCUCUUCUCCUUCUGGCACCUGUAUAAUAUGGAUGUUGGUGCAUUUAACGUUGUUCCAGAUUCUCUGAGACUCUCUUCAUUUGUUUUC
rnacentral:lncRNA from 1 species